rnacentral:rRNA from 1 species
CCUACGGGGGGCUGCAGUGAGGAAUAUUGGUCAAUGGACGAGAGUCUGAACCAGCCAAGUAGCGUGAAGGAUGACUGCCCUAUGGGUUGUAAACUUCUUUUAUAUGGGAAUAAAAUGUUCCACGUGUGGGAUUUUGUAUGUACCAUAUGAAUAAGGAUCGGCUAACUCCGUGCCAGCAGCCUCGGUAAUACGGAGGAUCCGAGCGUUAUCCGGAUUUAUUGGGUUUAAAGGGAGCGUAGGUGGCUUGUUAAGUCAGUUGUGAAAGUUUGCGGCUCAACCGUAAAAUUGCAGUUGAAACUGGCAGUCUUGAGUACAGUAGAGGUGGGCGGAAUUCGUGGUGUAGCGGUGAAAUGCUUAGAUAUCACGAAGAACUCCGAUGGCGAAGGCAGUUCACUGGACUGCAACUGACACUGAGGCUCGAAAGUGUGGGUAUCAAACAGGAUUAGAUACCCUAGUAGUC